rnacentral:rRNA from 1 species
AGAGUUUGAUCCUGGCUCAGGAUGAGCGCUGGCGGUCUGCUUAACACAUGCAAGUCGAACGGAGUACUUCGGUACUUAGUGGCGGACGGGUGAGUAACGCGUGAGGAUCUGCCCUCAGGAGGGGGACAACGACUGGAAACGGUCGCUAAUACCCCAUAUGCCGAGAGGUGAAAUGUUUUUUCGCCUGAGGAUGAGCUCGCGUCAGAUUAGCUAGUUGGUGGGGUAACGGCCUACCAAGGCGACGAUCUGUAGCUGGUCUGAGAGGAUGAUCAGCCACACUGGGACUGAGACACGGCCCAGACUCCUACGGGAGGCAGCAGUGGGGAAUUUUCCGCAAUGGGCGAAAGCCUGACGGAGCAAGACCGCGUGAGGGAUGACGGCCUAAUGGUUGUAAACCUCUUUUCUCUGGGAAGAUAAUGACGGUACCAGAGGAAUAAGCCUCGGCUAACUCCGUGCCAGCAGCCGCGGUAAUACGGAGGAGGCAAGCGUUAUCCGGAAUUAUUGGGCGUAAAGCGUCCGUAGGUGGUUAAUCAAGUCAGCUGUUAAAGAGCGGAGCUCAACUCCGUUAGAGCGGUUGAAACUGAUUGACUAGAGUUUGGUAGGGGUCGAGGGAAUUCCCAGUGUAGCGGUGAAAUGCGUAGAUAUUGGGAAGAACACCGGUGGCGAAAGCGCUCGACUGGGCCUGAACUGACACUGAGGGACGAAAGCUAGGGGAGCGAAAGGGAUUAGAUACCCCUGUAGUCCUAGCCGUAAACGAUGGAUACUAGGUGUUGCUCGUUAUCGACCCGAGCCGUGCCGAAGC